rnacentral:rRNA from 1 species
UACGGGGGGAGCAAGCGUUGUUCGGAAUCACUGGGCGUAAAGGGAGUCUAGGCGGUUUGGUAAGUGGGAUGUGAAAUGCCCCGGCUCACCCGGGGACCUGCAUCCCAAACUGCUGAGCUUGAGUACAGGAGAGGGUGGGGGAAUUCCAGGUGUAGCGGUGAAAUGCGUAGAUAUCUGGAGGAAUACCGGUGGCGAAGGCGGCAUCCUGGACCAUUACUGACGCUGAGGCGCGAAAAGCUAGGGGAGCAAAGC